rnacentral:rRNA from 1 species
GGGAAGUUAAAAAUCGUAACAAGGUUUCCGUAGGUGAACCUGCGGAAGGAUCAUUACCGAGUGCGGGUCCUCGUGGCCCAACCUCCCACCCGUGACUAUUGUACCUUGUUGCUUCGGCGGGCCCGCCAGCUUGCUGGCCGCCGGGGGGCGUCUCGCCCCCGGGCCCGUGCCCGCCGGAGACCCCAACAUGAACCCUGUUCUGAAAGCUUGCAGUCUGAGUUGUGAUUCUUUGCAAUCAGUUAAAACUUUCAACAAUGGAUCUCUUGGUUCCGGCAUCGAUGAAGAACGCAGCGAAAUGCGAUAACUAAUGUGAAUUGCAGAAUUCAGUGAAUCAUCGAGUCUUUGAACGCACAUUGCGCCCCCUGGUAUUCCGGGGGGCAUGCCUGUCCGAGCGUCAUUGCUGCCCUCAAGCCCGGCUUGUGUGUUGGGUCCUCGUCCCCCGGCUCCCGGGGGACGGGCCCGAAAGGCAGCGGCGGCACCGCGUCCGGUCCUCGAGCGUAUGGGGCUUUGUCUUCCGCUCUGUAGGCCCGGCCGGCGCCCGCCGACGCAUUUUUUUGCAACUUGUUUUUUUCCAGGUUGACCUCGGAUCAGG